UUGAAGAGUUUGAUCAUGGCUCAGAUUGAACGCUGGCGGCAGGCCUAACACAUGCAAGUCGAACGGUAACAGGAAGCAGCUUGCUGCUUCGCUGACGAGUGGCGGACGGGUGAGUAAUGUCUGGGAAACUGCCUGAUGGAGGGGGAUAACUACUGGAAACGGUGGCUAAUACCGCAUAACGUCGCAAGACCAAAGAGGGGGACCUUCGGGCCUCUUGCCAUCAGAUGUGCCCAGAUGGGAUUAGCUAGUUGGUGAGGUAACGGCUCACCAAGGCGACGAUCCCUAGCUGGUCUGAGAGGAUGACCAGCCACACUGGAACUGAGACACGGUCCAGACUCCUACGGGAGGCAGCAGUGGGGAAUAUUGCACAAUGGGCGCAAGCCUGAUGCAGCCAUGCCGCGUGUAUGAAGAAGGCCUUCGGGUUGUAAAGUACUUUCAGCGGGGAGGAAGGUGUUGUGGUUAAUAACCACAGCAAUUGACGUUACCCGCAGAAGAAGCACCGGCUAACUCCGUGCCAGCAGCCGCGGUAAUACGGAGGGUGCAAGCGUUAAUCGGAAUUACUGGGCGUAAAGCGCACGCAGGCGGUCUGUCAAGUCGGAUGUGAAAUCCCCGGGCUCAACCUGGGAACUGCAUUCGAAACUGGCAGGCUUGAGUCUUGUAGAGGGGGGUAGAAUUCCAGGUGUAGCGGUGAAAUGCGUAGAGAUCUGGAGGAAUACCGGUGGCGAAGGCGGCCCCCUGGACAAAGACUGACGCUCAGGUGCGAAAGCGUGGGGAGCAAACAGGAUUAGAUACCCUGGUAGUCCACGCCGUAAACGAUGUCUACUUGGAGGUUGUGCCCUUGAGGCGUGGCUUCCGGAGCUAACGCGUUAAGUAGACCGCCUGGGGAGUACGGCCGCAAGGUUAAAACUCAAAUGAAUUGACGGGGGCCCGCACAAGCGGUGGAGCAUGUGGUUUAAUUCGAUGCAACGCGAAGAACCUUACCUGGUCUUGACAUCCACAGAAGAAUCCAGAGAUGGAUUUGUGCCUUCGGGAACUGUGAGACAGGUGCUGCAUGGCUGUCGUCAGCUCGUGUUGUGAAAUGUUGGGUUAAGUCCCGCAACGAGCGCAACCCUUAUCCUUUGUUGCCAGCGGUUAGGCCGGGAACUCAAAGGAGACUGCCAGUGAUAAACUGGAGGAAGGUGGGGAUGACGUCAAGUCAUCAUGGCCCUUACGACCAGGGCUACACACGUGCUACAAUGGCGCAUACAAAGAGAAGCGACCUCGCGAGAGCAAGCGGACCUCAUAAAGUGCGUCGUAGUCCGGAUUGGAGUCUGCAACUCGACUCCAUGAAGUCGGAAUCGCUAGUAAUCGUGGAUCAGAAUGCCACGGUGAAUACGUUCCCGGGCCUUGUACACACCGCCCGUCACACCAUGGGAGUGGGUUGCAAAAGAAGUAGGUAGCUUAACCUUCGGGAGGGCGCUUACCACUUUGUGAUUCAUGACUGGGGUGAAGUCGUAACAAGGUAACCGUAGGGGAACCUGCGGUUGGAUCACCUCCUU
rnacentral:rRNA from 1 species